ACUCCUGAGCCUUUCCACACUCUGCUGCUUAGGGAGUGUGUCCUUGACCUCAUUCUCCAACAUUUUUUUGCAGUUCAGAACACAACAUCUCACAGAGAGGAAGUGUUCAGGAACCAGGGGCCAAUGUGUGUGUCUGUCUUCCCAACCACUGUCCUUAGCCCUCCAGAAAAGGAACCAUUGACCUCUGUGAUGGUCCUGUGAACCCUGACCACAGGGACCUUAUUUCCACGCCCCGGGUGUGAGGGUGUGACAGCUUAGAAAGAGGGGCAGGAGAGCCUGGUGGUUGUGGCCCGCCUCGUGGGGAUCCCGACGUGAGAAUCCCCUCUGUCUGGAAGCAAGUUUCUCCAUCCUUCUAAGUCUCAUGUAUCAAAUAGGAACUGCGGAUGAGGUGAGGUCCCCUAUGUGAUUGCCUCAGUGCUAAAAUUCUGAGCUGCCGAGAGCAUGGAGAAGAUAAAUGUCACCUGACGACACGGUCAGAACGGGAGAGUUCUCCUCGUCAUCAUUCAAGUCAAAAACCAGAAGUGGACGAGGCGUGGAAGGACCACCGCCUGAACUCUGUCCUCACCCAGAGAGUCCGGUGGUGGAAUAAAUGGGAAAUUCUGGAA